CAAAUUCAAUGCAAUUCUCAUAAAAAUAUCACUAUUAUUCUUCACAGAACUAGAAAAAACAAUCCCAAAAUAUAUAUAGAACCGAAAAAGAGCCUACAUAGUAAAAGCAAGACUGAACAAAAAGAACAAAUCUGGAGGCAUCACAUUACCUUAUUUCAAACUAUAUUGUAAAGCUAUAGUCACCAAAGGCAUCCUGGCUACAAUUAGGCUUCUCGACGUCCUGUGUGAAAUGACUGCGAACACCAAGCUGCUUGGCUAUCUGCAGGUUUUCCCUGGCUUGCUGGAAGGAGUGAUUGAUCUUUUACAGAUGAUUCAUGUAGCUGCGAAAGAAACCACAAACAUUUUCAGUACUUGUGGUUGUGUGAGAGCAGAAGGUGACAUCUCGAAUGUGGCCGAGGGGUUUAAGUCUCAUCUCAUUCGUGUGAUUGGAAAUCUGUGUUACAAGAAUAAAGAUAACCAAGACAAGGUCAAUGAGCUGGAUGGUAUCCCCUUGAUCCUGGACAACUGCAGCGUCAGUGACAGUAACCCCUUUCUGACGCAGUGGGUGAUAUAUGCCAUCCGAAACCUUACCUAAGACAACAGCCAAAACCAAGAUGUGAUUGCGAAGAUGGAGGAGCAGGGGCUGGCAGACCCAUCCCUCCUUAAACAAAUGGGUUUUGAAGUUGAGAAGAAGGGCAAAAAGCUGAUCCUGAAAUCUACUAGAGACACCCCUAAGCCAUGAAUGAACUGCAUCCAAAUACCUGAAUUUGGGGGGUCUGUUUCAUGGAUUUUUCAUCUUCUGCAGUAUGUGAAAUUGUAAGUGUUUGAAGAUUUAUAAGUACAAAUUUGGGAACUUAUGAAUCUUUUAGGUCGUAGAAUUUAAUGUGUAUAAGCUAAAAGUGAAAGUAAUUAAGCAGUCUCUUGUUUCUUCGCUUUCAUGUAACUGCGUGGUUUGCCUUUGUCCUCCUGGAUAGAAUGUGCAUUUAAGUAAUAUAUUGUACCCUUCUGCGACAGCAGAUAAUAAACCAGUCUCUUGGAGGGCAAUCCUUUUGAAAAAAAAAAAAAAAAAAAAAAAAAAAAGCCGGCCCCAGUGGAGACACCUGGGGAGCCAUCACCACGGAACAGAGAAUCAACCCUGCCAGCAGCCAGAAGGCAUCACCCAAAAAGAUGCCCAAGUCAGCGGGCAAGAGCCGCGGGCCCAGGGGCAGCUGCGAGUUCUGCGGGAAGCAUUUUACCAACAGCAGCAACCUGAUGGUGCACAGGCGCUCGCACACCGGGGAGCGCCCCUACACCUGUGAGCUCUGCAACUAUGCCUAUGCCCAGAGCAGCAAGCUGAACCGCCACCGCCACAUGCACGGCAUGACACCUGGCAGCACCCGCUUCGAGUGUCCCCACUGCUGUGUGCCCUUUGGCCUGAGAGCCACGCUGGACAAACACCUGUGGCAGAAGCACCCUGAGGCAGCCGGGGAGGUCUGAGCCCCGGAAAGCCUACUGCUCUCCCUGGUACCGCAGCACGGUUGACCUCCUUGUGUCUGCCCCAUCUCCAAGUAAAUUACCCCUUUUAUUUAAAAAAAAAAAAA